AGAAUCAACGCUGGCGGCGUGCCUAACACAUGCAAGUCGAACGAGAAAGUGGAGCAAUCCAUGAGUAAAGUGGCGACCGGGUGAGUAACACGUGACUAACCUACCUUCGAGUGGGGGAUAACCUCGGGAAACCGAGGCUAAUACCGCAUAACAUCGCAAGAUCAAAGCAGCAAUGCGCUGGAAGAGGGGGUCGCGGCUGAUUAGCUAGUUGGCGGGGUAAUGGCCCACCAAGGCGAAGAUCGGUAGCCGGCCUGAGAGGGCGCACGGCCACACUGGAACUGAAACACGGUCCAGACUCCUACGGGAGGCAGCAGUGGGGAAUUUUGCGCAAUGGGGGAAACCCUGACGCAGCAACGCCGCGUGGAGGAUGAAGCCCCUUGGGGUGUAAACUCCCUUCGACCAAGACGAUAAUGACGGUACUGGUGGAAGAAGCACCGGCUAACUCUGUGCCAGCAGCCGC
rnacentral:rRNA from 1 species